UGCUCAUUUAUUCACUGUUUUACUGUAAAUAAAUGUGAAGGAGGCGGUGAGUUUUCAAGGCACUUCAGUGCAACCUUCUUGUGGGAAAAAAUACCUUUUGUUUGGGGCUUGUAGGUAGCUUAGUGGUUAGAGUGUUGGACAAGUAACCAAAAGGUUGCUAGAUCAAAUCCCCGAGCUGACAAGGUAACAAUCUGUCGUUCUGCCCCUGAACAAGGCAGUUUAACCCACUGUUCCUAGACCAGUUAACCCACUGUUCCUAGACCAGUUAACCCACUGUUCCUAGGCAGUCAUUGAAAAUAAGAACUUGUUCUUACUGACUUGCCUAGUUAAAUAAAGGUAAAAUGGGAAAGACUCUCCAUUUAGGUCGAUGGAAAGAGAGAGUAGGUAGAUGGAAAGAGAGAAGGUAGAUGGAAAGAGAGUAGGUUGAUGGAAAGAGAGUAGGUUGAUGGAAAGAGAGUAGGUUGAUGGAAAGAGAGAAGGUAGAUGGAAAGAGAGAAGGUAGAUGGAAAGAGAGUAGGUUGAUGGAAAGAGAGUAGGUAGAUGGAAAGAGAGUAGGUAGAUGGAAAGAGAGUAGGUUGAUGGAAAGAGAGUAGGUUGAUGGAAAGAGAGUAGGUAGAUGGAAAGAGAGUAGGUAGGUAGAUGGAAAGAGAGUAGGUAGGUAGAUGGAAAGAGAGAGUAGGUAGAUGGAAAGAGAGUAGGUAGGUAGAUGGAAAGAGAGAGUAGGUAGAUGGAAAGAGAGUAGGUAGAUGGAAAGAGAGUAGGUAGGUAGAUGGAAAGAGAGAGUAGGUAGAUGGAAAGAGAGUAGGUAGAUGGAAAGAGAGAGUAGGUAGAUGGAAAGAGAGAGUAGGUAGAUGGAAAGCGAGUAGGUAGAUGGAAAGAUAGUAGGUAGUAACUGCUUGUGGCUCUUUGUGUUUCAACAUGUAGGCAGUAAAGGUUGUGUUAAACCACCUACAGUAACAGAAUCCGCAGGAGGACAGCGCUGUCCCCAGUGCUGACAGUUAGUCAUUGGCAGUGUUUGGGGAAGCUACUCUGAAAAUAUAGUUUUUUGCCAAGCUACCAAUUACUUCACACCGGAAUAAGUUACACUAAAUCUACCUUUAAGAAAAAUAGAUUUUUUACUAACGUUACUUUGAAAAAGUCAAAACUGCUUCAUGAAAAAGUAUCAUGUGUAAAUUUGACGUGAUACACUACAACUUGCAAGAACAUGUCACUUUGGGGUCAUAUGUUAACAGAAUGUGUAAUUUAGCCUACUGAAAAACAAAUAAAACUAAGUUUUAUUAGACUUGUCUGAUUCCGAAAUUGAAAGAAUGUUCUGGUCUACUACAACCCAUAUUUUAUUUUUUGCAAAGAGAGUAGUGUGUAGUUCCGAUAGUUAGCUAUACCGCUACAUGGUAAAACAGUAGUGCGAAGUUCCAGUAGUUAGCUACACUGCUACAUGGUAAAACAGUAGUGCGAAGUUCCAGUAGUUAGCUACACUGCUACAUGGUAAAACAGUAGUGCGAAG